AGAUGCGAGAGUAGAGCAUAUCAAUAAGCGGAGGAAAAGAAACUAACAAGGAUUCCCUUAGUAACGGCGAGUGAAGCGGGAAGAGCUCAAAUUUGAAAUCUUCAAGGUUCUACCUUGACGAAUUGUAGUUUAUAGAAGUGUUUUCUGUUAGUGGAGUGGCAAAAGUUCUUUGGAAUAGGACAUCAUAGAGGGUGAGAAUCCCGUAUUUGGUCAUUCCUCCUAGCGUUGUGAUACACUUUCAACGAGUCGGAUUGUUUGGGAAUGCAGUCCAAAGUGGGUGGUAAAUUUCAUCUAAAGCUAAAUAUUGGCGAGAGACCGAUAGCGAACCAGUACCGUGAGGGAAAGAUGAAAAGAACUUUGAAAAGAGAGUUAAACAGUACGUGAAAUUGUCAAAAGGGAAGCGUUUGACACCAGUGUUGUUUUCUCGAAAAUCAAUUAAGAAAGUUUGAUUUUGAUGUUAGUAUUGACCUUAAUCAGGCUUGCUUCACUUCUUUUCCUGAACUUUUUUAAUGCACUUUUCGGUUAACAAGUCAACAUCAAUUUCUUUUGUUGUAAGAGGGUAUGAGGAAGGUGGCUUUCUUUUCGGAGAAAGUGUUUAUAGCCUUGUGCUCUCUGCAAUCGGAGAGAUUGAGGUCUGCAGCGUAGAUCCUUCGGGGUUAGAUACAUUUGUGCUAAGCUAUAGCCUUUUCAUAGACAACUUGUUGACUAUGAUCAGUCAUGUAGGCUUACUCGCUUAUGCUAUUUUACCUACGCUUAGGAUGUUGACACACGCGCGUGCUCG
rnacentral:rRNA from 1 species